rnacentral:rRNA from 1 species
UCACGAAGAACUCCAAUUGNGAAGGCAGCUUACUAGGCUACAACUGACGCUGAAGCACGAAAGCGUGGGGAUCAAACAGGAUUAGAUACCCUGGUAGUNCACGCCGUAAACGAUGAAUGCUAGCUGUNAGCGAUAUACUGUUAGCGGCACAGAGAAAUCGUUAAGCAUUCCACCUGGGGAGUACGCCGGCAACGGUGAAACUCAAAGGAAUUGACGGGGGCCCGCACAAGCGGAGGAACAUGUGGUUUAAUUCGAUGAUACGCGAGGAACCUUACCUGGGCUUAAAUUGCAGUGGAAUAACGUGGAAACAUGUUAGCCUUCGGGCCGCUGUGAAGGUGCUGCAUGGUUGUCGUCAGCUCGUGCCGUGAGGUGUCGGCUUAAGUGCCAUAACGAGCGCAACCCUCAUCGAUAGUUACUAACAGGUUAAGCUGAGGACUCUAUCGAGACUGCCGACGUAAGUCGUGAGGAAGGUGGGGAUGACGUCAAAUCAGCACGGCCCUUACGUCCAGGGCUACACACGUGUUACAAUGGGGGGUACAAAGGGCAGCUACCUGGCGACAGGAUGCUAAUCUCAAAAACCUCUCUCAGUUCGGAUUGGAGUCUGCAACCCGACUCCAUGAAGCUGGAUUCGCUAGUAAUCGCGCAUCAGCCACGGCGCGGUGAAUACGUUCCCGGACCUUGUACACACCGCCCGUCAAGCCAUGGGAGCCGGGGGGACCUGAAGUAUGCAACCAUAAGGAGCGUCCUAGGGUAAAACUGGUGACUGGGGCU